UGAACGCUGGGGCUGCCUUACACAUGCAAUUCGAACGGUAGCUCGGGGGUGCCUUGGUGGCGAGUGGCGAACGGGUGAGUUAUAUAUACGGACGUGACCUCGAGUGGGGGAAAACUAGUUUGAAGACAGCUAAUACCGCAUACGAUCUACGGAUGAAAGUGGGGGAUGGCUUGACCUCAUGCUCAUGUAGCGGUCGAUAUCUGAUUAGCUAGUUGGUAGGGAAAAAGCCUACCCUGGCAUCGAUUCUAAGCUGGUCUGAGAGGACGACCAGCCACACUGGGACUGAGACACGGCCCAGACUCCUACGGGAGGCAGCUGCGGGGAAUUUUGGACAAUGGGGGCAACCCUGAUCCAGCAAUGUCGCGAGGGUGAAGAAUGCCUUCGGGUUGUAAAGCUCUUUUGAUUGGGAAGAAACGGUGGACUCUAAUACAGACCACUAAUGACGGUACCUGAAGAAUAAGCACCGGUUAACUACGUGACAGCAUUCGUGGUAAUACGUAGGGUGCAAGCGUUAAUCGGAAUUACUGGGCGUAAAGUGCGCGCAGGCGGCUAUGUAAGACAGGUGUGAAAUCCCCGGGCUUAACCUGGGAAUUGCAUUUGUGACUGCCUGGCUAGAGUGUGUCAGAGGGGGGUAGAAUUCCACGUGCAGCAGUGAAAUGCGAUAGAGAUGUGGAGGAAUACCGAUGGCGAAGGCAGCCCCCCGGGAUAACACUGA
rnacentral:rRNA from 1 species